CCCUUAGAUGUUCUGGGCUGCACGCGCGCUACGCUGAUGCGAUCAACAAGUUUUUCCUAUGUCGAUAGACACGGGUAAUCUUUUGAACCCGCAUCGUGAUGGGGAUAGAUUAUUGUAAUUAUUAAUCUUCAACGAGGAAUUCCUAGUAGGUGCAAAUCAUCAGUUUGCAUCGAUUACGUCCCUGCCCUUUGUACACACCGCCCGUCGCUGCUACCGAUUGGUUGAUCUGGUGAAUUAUUCGGACUGCCGGCUGAAGGGGUUUCCUCAUCUGCCAGCGGAAAGUCUUGUUAACCCUAUCAACUAGAGGAAGCAGAAGUCGUAACA
rnacentral:rRNA from 1 species